AACAUGGUUCAAGGUUAACAUGGUAGGGACUCACCUCGACCUAUGGAGUGGCUAGCUACCAAGAUGGGGUGAACCCGUUAUUGCCACUUUAGGUUUUGUUGUCUUUAUAUGUGUGCUUUCACUAUAGGGUUAAUUUAUUUGUUUGUACGCUUGGAGAGUGUAUGAUAGCACCCUAGAGUCGUUUCUUUUGGCAUUUUUAUUGAUUUGGUUGUACACUUGGAGUGUUUGUGACAACACCCUAGACUCGUGAUUAUCCUUAGUGAUCACAAUGAUAAAUUGUUUAAGGAAUAUGAAUUUAGUUUUCAUGAAAGAAAUGUCACUA
rnacentral:lncRNA from 1 species